rnacentral:rRNA from 1 species
UACGGAGGGAGCUAGCGUUAUUCGGAAUUACUGGGCGUAAAGCGCACGUAGGCGGCUUUGUAAGUUAGAGGUGAAAGCCUGGAGCUCAACUCCAGAAUUGCCUUUAAGACUGCAUCGCUUGAAUCCAGGAGAGGUGAGUGGAAUUCCGAGUGUAGAGGUGAAAUUCGUAGAUAUUCGGAAGAACACCAGUGGCGAAGGCGGCUCACUGGACUGGUAUUGACGCUGAGGUGCGAAAGCUAGGGGAGCAAACGGG